CCCAACCUGACAUUAGAAAAGACAAUGGCUGCUGGUUUUGUCAUGCCAAGGGUCAUAGGAAAGAAAAGUGUCCUAAUACAAAAUUUGGCUUGAGAAAAGAAACAACAAUGGUAAUUCGCUUGCUCUAGUUUGUUUCGAAUCUUCGCUAGCAGGUGCUCCACCUAAUUCUUGGUGGCUUGAUAGUGGCAUAUCUAUUCAUAUUGCUCAUUUUUUAUAGGGGUUCAUAAACAAAUGCAAGCCAAGUCAGAGCCUAAGGGGAGUUUUGGUCUUAGGCUUGAGAGAAGGUGGAGAGAGAGAAGGUAAUAAAUGAGAGGAUUUGACCAAAGAGAAUCACUAGACU
rnacentral:lncRNA from 1 species